rnacentral:rRNA from 1 species
CAUUAGCGGAGGAAAGAAACCAACAGGGAUUGCCUCAGUAACGGCGAGUGAAGCGGCAAUAGCUCAAAUUUGAAAUCUGGCUCUUUCAGGGUCCGAGUUGUAAUUUGCAGAGGGCGCUUUGGAGUCGGCAGCAGCCUAAGUUCCUUGGAACAGGUCAUCAUAGAGGGUGAGAAUCCCGUAUGUGGCUGCUUGCCUUCGCCGUGUAAAGCCCCUUCGAUGAGUCGAGUUGUUUGGGAAUGCAGCUCUAAAUGGGAGGUAAAUUUCUUCUAAAGCUAAAUAUUGGCCAGAGACCGAUAGCGCACAAGUAGAGUGAUCGAAAGAUGAAAAGCACUUUGGAAAGAGAGUCAAAAAGCACGUGAAAUUGUUGAAAGGGAAGCGCUUGCAGCCAGACGUGCCCGUAGUUGCUCAUCUGGGGUUCUCCCCAGUGCACUCUUCUAUGGGCAGGCCAGCAUCAGUCCGGGCGGUUGGAGAAAGACCUGUGUCACGUAGCUCUCUUCGGGGAGUGUUAUAGGGCAGGUGGAAUGCAACCAGCCUGGACUGAGGUCCGCGCAUCUGCUAGGAUGCUGGCGUAAUGGCUGUAAGCGGCCCGUCUUGAAACACGGACCAAGGAGUCUAACAUCUAUGCGAGUGUUUGGGUGUCAAGCCCGAGCGCGUAAUGAAAGUGAACGGAGGUGGGAACCCCUCGGGGUGCACCAUCGACCGAUCCUGAUGUCUUCGGAUGGAUUUGAGUAAGAGCAUAGCUGUUGGGACCCGAAAGAUGGUGAACUAUGCCUGAAUAGGGUGAAGCCAGAGGAAACUCUGGUGGAGGCUCGCAGCGGUUCUGACGUGCAAAUCGAUCGUCAAAUUUGGGCAUAGGGGCGAAAGACUAAUCGAACUAUCUAGUAGCUGGUUCCUGCCGAAGUUUCCCUCAGGAUAGCAGUAACGUUUUCAGUUUUAUGAGGUAAAGCGAAUGAUUAGAGGCCUGGGGGUUGAAACAACCUUCACCUAUUCUCAAACUUUAAAUAUGUAAGAAGUCCUUGUUUCU